UGGACCUAGUUGAAGAGAGCGGCUUCAUCGCCUAUGGAAUCCACUACUUGCACCUUUCUCUGGGAUUAGCCUUCCAUCAGGGAUCCAGAAUAGAGAGUGAAGGAACAGCUCCUAGUCUGAGCCUCAGUUUGGACAACAAUGGAACUUUGGAGAAGUAGGGUGUGACAAAUGCAGGCAACGUGAGGACAGUGUCUUGAGACAAGGACAUUUCUUGCUACGAGAAACCACCAUUUGCAGGACAUCAGUCCAGAUGAUUUUGGGAGGUCUUUGACAUCCAGACAUCCUCUUUUUAAAGCCUGGGAGAGACUAUUGGUAAAGUGGCCAGCCUUAGUCUCUUGAAGGAAUUACAAGUCGAUGGAGGACUUUAACCAAAGACUCAAGUAACAUGUGAAAGCUGUUGUAAAUUUAUUUGGAAAGUGUUAAAGUUAUGGAUAGAUAAAAGUGACAGAGGCAUGAACAAAAUUGGACAUUUUAAACCCACAACAUGGGCAAGUGUUUGCUGCUUAAAAAAAAAAAACUUUACUGUACAGUCUGCACUGAGACUUUAUUUAUUAUCAUUCAUUUAUUUUUCCCACAGGGAUCUUUAACCUUUAAGCCUGGAGGCAAAACUUGAAUUGUGCUUGGAGUAGCUAAACUCCAGUUGCUGUUGUCUGCUUGAUUGUUUUGUCUGGUCCUUGAGGCAGGGGGUCCUGAACCCCCUGGACAACCUUGAACUUCUGAUCCUUCCUGCCAGCAAAUUCCCACACCCAGAGUUUACAAGCAUGCAUCACCAAACCAGCUUACAUUGCUGUUGCCUUCAGCUCUGUAGACGGUGAGUUGGAACAGCAAAAGAUGAAGGCAGUUUACUCUAAGAGUAUAAAAGAGUGGUUAAGUUUUUAAAAGUUUCACAAUUUGGAUACUUAUUCAUUCCACGUGCUUAGAAAUUCUGAAGGACUUUGUAAUCAUGGGCUAGGUAAGGCAGGUGCUACAGUGCAGCUGUGGAAUCUAACCAACUGUCUCCCCAAGUCCAUUGAGCCAAUAAUUUAUAAGAUAGCUCUGGUCAACUUGACUCUCAACUCAUGAUAAACUUUCCAUCAAACAUACAGAAGAAACAAGUGUGGAAAUUACAUCCUGACUCGAAUUGGUAAACAACCCAUGCCUGCUUACAUAGACAGGUUCCAAUGGAUAGAAGGCAAAAGAAUUCAUAGUAUUUUAGACAUAGAUGGCUGACCUAUGAGUUAUCAUGUGUCACACUGCACAGUUAUUGAAACCAUUGGAAAGGAAAGUGUUGUUGUCUGUAGUGUGGAAUGUCUGGAGAAGGUUAUUUUUCUGUGAACAUCAGACUAUUACUAAAGAGGAUUAUGUUGAACAUACAAAAAAUUUUUUUAAUAUUGGGGAAUUACAAAAACACACCUUGACACCUUGUGUUCGUUGUGACAUGAAUGGCUGGCUUGGAGAGUCAGGGUCCUGAUGUCGUGCGCCAGACUGACCUUGUCCCACACUGUGGGUCAGUGGGGGGUGCUCUGUUCCUGGCCACAGGUUAGUCCCCAGUGCCACAGAUGUCCUCACUCCCCAAAUGUUCCAUUUCAUUCCCAAAUGGCAAACCUUGUGACUCAUUGUGUAUUUCAACUUGAAUUCACGCAUACAGUUAUUUGAUUUUCUUGCUUUUUUACCCUCUGCCUGCCGCUAUCCACAGACUUCGGGCAGCUGAGGGAACAGCCUGUGUUUGGGAUUCAGUCAGUGGUUCAGGCUGGUGAAGCUUUAUUUCCAUUUCACUGAUUAAAAAAUAAAUACUAAGCCAACUAGGCAUGAUGGACAGAGGCAGGUGAAUCUCUGUGAGUUUGAGGCCAGACUCAUAUACACAGUGUAUUCUAGGACAGCCAGGGCUCUCAAAAGGAUGAUGAUGAUAUGAUGAUGAUGAUGAUGGUGACUAGAUGAUGAUGAUGGUAAUGAUGACGACAACAAUGAUGACAACAACAUCGAUGAUGAUGAUGAUGAAGGAAAAAAACACCCAAAACACCAAUGUGUGUGGUUUCCCAGCACACAAAUUAAAAAGUACUGUGAUAAUAGAGGGGAAAUGUGUAAUACGUAGGCAAUCAUAUCAGCAGCUCAUAUUCGUACAUUCCUGUAACCUUAAAAACAAGAAUCAGAUGAACAGUCCUUAUAUGUCACGGGGACUCAAUGUGGAUGUGGUGCUUAAAGAUCAAAGAUAUUUGAAACCAGAAGAGAUAUUCAAUUUUCUAAAUAGAAUGCAAAUGUCACAUGUUAAUGCACAAACUCCCCCUUUCACAGGUCCGUUUUAAAGUCAGCGAAGAGGGACGUAUUUAUGUUACAUCAGGACUUUAGAAGGAUGGUGGAACAGCCCCAAAUCUCCAUGGCAUAAAAUUACUUUUACUGUUCCUUCAUGACUGCACAUUUGCUUCUGUUAUGAACAUAACAUAAAUAUCCAUGCUUCCUGGUGGUCUUAGGCAACCCCAGUGAGAGGGUCGUUCCAACCCUCAACAUGUCGCGCCCCACAUGUUGAGAAUAGCAGAUAAAAGCACUCCAUCUGUAAGACUGUCACCAAUGGGAGGACGCACUUUGAAUUCACAACUCUGCUUUCCAGGUCACUAAUAGCCCAGUAUUCUAUACAUCUGUGAGCUUACUUGGAAGCCAUAGCAGUCCUAUAAUACGGGUGUUCUUCACGCUUCACGGAUGGGAGCAUUGAGGUUCAGAGAGGGCAAGUGACUUAGAAAGAACUCACACAGCAAGAGACUCACACAGCCAGGGCCAUUGAGUGCCUAAGGAAUUUCCCCAGCAACUCCUGAAGCUACAAAUGGAUCAUAUUCCAUAGACUUGCUUUGAAAAUUAAUGUUUUGCAUUUUCCUAUGAAAGGCAUUAUAAAUAUGCACACCAAGUUAAACAUCAGAGAAAGGUAAGAAGAAGAAAAAAUUAACCAUCAUUUCACAACCCAGUUAAUAUUUCAUUUAUGCCUAUAUUAAAAAAAAUAUUUUCAAAAUUACUUGUCCUAAUUGCUUGAUGGUGGCUAAUAAUCAUCGUAGAAAAUUUUUGAAAACUGCAAUCAUGUAUAUAAAAGAAAAUUUCAAUCGCUAAUAAUCUCAAAAUAGGAAGCUAACUGUUUAAGACAUAGCAGACCUUACCCUUCUUGAGACAGAAGCCAAAGCUGUCUAUAUCACACACUUUAUAAUUUAGAUAUCACUUUAAGUUACUUAUUUGGUUUUUUUUGAGAUUUAUUUCUUUGUGUGUACGUGUGUGCACAUGCCCAUGUGUGUGCACAUGCCUGUGUGUGUGCACAUGUCCGUGUGUGUGCACAUGCCCACGUGCAGUUAUGUGUGCUUCUGUAUGUCUGUGGAGGCCAGAAGAGAGCUUUGGAACUCUCUUCACUACGUUGUUGCACAUACUCCUCAGAGACACGGCCUCUCCCUAAACCUUGACUCCUAGCCCUACAAGCCGUCAAGUUCCAGGGUCUCGUUCCUCUAUGCCCAUCAGCUCAUCAGAGCUGGGGGAACAGGAGUUUUCAGGAUGUACAGCUUGCUGCACGUGCUAGGAUCUGCCUGGGUCCUCUCGACUUCCCAGCAAGCACUGCUCUCAACUGCUGGGCUGUCACUCCGGAUCCUUGUUGGUUUUUCUAACCUGGUAUUUUCUUUUCCUUGAAGUCUCAAAUAUGACUUUUAGACACUUAACCAGAGUGCUUCUUGGUUGUUCUGAAUGGACUAGUUACUGUUAUUCUCACAACCAAAAUACCUAAAGGAUGAAUUGAAUUACUGUCUCAAUCUGCACCUACAGCUCCACAAGAUGACUUAAUGGGGCCAACCCCACAAAUGUAACUUGGUUUAAGCAGUUUUCACUGGAGGGGAAAGAAAGCUGGGUCAAGUGUGUUCAAUUAGAGACAUUGGUUUCUGACUAAAGACGUAAAUAUUGAUCUGCCAGAUGAAGUAAAUUUGUGGAUUACAAGAAUUUGGAAGGGUUGUGAAAAUGGGGGGUUAAUAUUAAAUUAAGAGUUUCUCUCCAGCAGACAAAAAUCAACAUUCCUUGAGAACCUUUGCAUCGCAUGAUAUCACAUGCCUAAGGUGCUUAAAUAUACUUAAAUUUUCAACUCAAAAAUGGCUGCUGGGUAAACUGGGGAAGGUGCACCUAGCCAAGAUACCUUACAGGCACAGGCUUUCACUUUUCCAAGGAAUAUCGUAAGACCCUGACCUAAAAGCAAAUAAACACACACACACACACACACACACACACACACACACACACACGGUGGGGAGACAGAGACAGAGAGGGGGGAGGGAGGGAGAGAGAGAGAGAGAGAGA